GGAGAGGUGCAGGAGUGGCUGAACUGGCACGCUUGGAAAGCGUGUAGGGUAUGUCAAGUACUCUCGUGGGUUCGAAUCCCACCCUCUCCGCCA
rnacentral:tRNA from 1 species